UUAAUAAUAAUUCCUCACCCUCUUUCUCUCACACGCACUUUCUCUCUAUGUAUAUACACAAACAUAUGUGUGCAUGUGUGUAGUUAAUUGUUAUGUUAUCGAUCAUAUGAUGAUUAAUGGCUGCUGGCAUAUAGUAUAUAUGUUUAUAUUAUAUAUAUACGAUCGCGAGCUAGAUAGAUAGGCGGGUGUGGUGAGCAAGAUGGAGAAGCAGGGCACGUGUAUUACCAACUCACUCGAUCGAUCAUCAUGCAAAUGUUGAUCGCCGUCGACUACAUGAGGUUCUUGCAAGUUCGAGCUAGCCGUGCAGGAUGAUUGAUCCGAAAGGGUUCGGUAAAUGAGUUGGUGCUUCAUGUGCCCAUCUUCCCCAUCAUGACCACCCAUUACCUUGAUUUUUUGAAGAUGUUAAAACUUAUUCAAUGAUGCAAGUCACAUACUUACAACUAUCAGGUUCUUCAAUAGGGGUGGCUAUGGAAGGGAACAUUAUAUCGUUCUAUAUCUCGAUGUGUAUCUGUUUUUAGAACGGCAUCUCGAUAUGUAUUUAUAUAUGAUCCUUUUUUUUGUAUUGUUAUUGUUAACAGAUCGGAUCAUUUGGAAUACCAUGGACCAUGGUUGAUACUUUGUGAGGUUGAUAUUUAUUUCUCACAUUUAUUUAUUGUUAAUACUUUGUAAAUAUUUUAUUUUUUAUAUAUAUUCUGUUGUAGCAAA